GGAUACUCGGGCAUCCAUGUUUUGAUCCAAAAGUAUGUUGCUUGACUUGAUAUCUCUGUGUAUGAUGUGCGGGAUGCAGUCAUGAUGAAGUAUCAUUGAUUUCAGGACGAAAUCAACACGCUAUAUGAUCACUUAGAAGCAUCGUGAAAUCAAAGGCUUUGAUAUAUAUACCAUCGUUUGUAAAGAAGCAAUGCUAUGAAGAUCUUCGACACAAUGAAAGCGACGCAACUGAUCGUGGCAUAGAAUGCUAUAGCCUG